rnacentral:rRNA from 1 species
UCGAGGGGCAGCAUGAACUUAGCUUGCUAAGUUUGAUGGCGACCGGCGCACGGGUGAGUAACACGUAUCCAACCUGCCGAUGACUCGGGGAAAGCCUUUCGAAAGAAAGAUUAAUACCCGAUGGCAUAGUUCUUCCGCAUGGUAGAACUAUUAAAGAAUUUCGGUCAUCGAUGGGGAUGCGUUCCAUUAGGUUGUUGGCGGGGUAACGGCCCACCAAGCCUUCGAUGGAUAGGGGUUCUGAGAGGAAGGUCCCCCACAUUGGAACUGAGACACGGUCCAAACUCCUACGGGAGGCAGCAGUGAGGAAUAUUGGUCGAUGGACGAGAGUCUGAACCAGCCAAGUAGCGUGAAGGAUGACUGCCCUAUGGGUUGUAAACUUCUUUUAUACGGGAAUAAAGUGAGGCACGUGUGCCUUUUUGUAUGUACCGUAUGAAUAAGGAUCGGCUAACUCCGUGCCAGCAGCCGCGGUAAUACGGAGGAUCCGAGCGUUAUCCGGAUUUAUUGGGUUUAAAGGGAGCGUAGGCGGACGCUUAAGUCAGUUGUGAAAGUUUGCGGCUCAACCGUAAAAUUGCAGUUGAUACUGGGUGUCUUGAGUACAGUAGAGGCAGGCGGAAUUCGUGGUGUAGCGGUGAAAUGCUUAGAUAUCACGAAGAACUCCGAUUGCGAAGGCAGCCUGCUGGACUGUAACUGACGCUGAUG